GCCAGUGUGGCAUAAUGGUUUGAGCGUUGGACCACAACUCUGAAGACCAGGGUUCAAAUCCCUGCUCGGCCA